rnacentral:lncRNA from 1 species
NNNNNNNNNNNNNNNNNNNNNNNNNNNNNNNNNNNNNNNNNNNNNNNNNAAUUCAUCCCCCUUUAUUUUCCUGCCUCAUUGUUUGAGCUGUGACAUCUCAUCUUCUGUCCUCAGAUGGAUUUACAUCACUGGCUCCCCUGGUUCUCAAGCCUUUGGAUUCAGACUGAAUUAUACCACAGGACUUCCUGGGUCUCCAGCUUAUAGAUGACAGAUCAUGGGACCUCUUAGCCUCCAUAAUCAUGUAUUGUUUAAAAGUGUGUAGCACUCCCUCUUCGCUCUCUUCCUCCUGCUCCAACCAUGUGGAUGUGCCUCCUUCCUCUUCGCCUUGUGCCCUGAUUUUAAGCUUCCUGAGGCCUCCCCAGCCAUGCUUCCUGUACAGCCUGUGGAACCGUGAGGCAAUUAAUCUUCUUUUUUUACUAAAAAUAAAAAAAAUUAGCGAGUGUGGUGGUAUGCACCUGUAAUCCCAUCUACUCGGGAGGUUGAGGCAGGAGCAUUGUUUGAGCUUGAGAGGCGGAUAUGGCAGUGAGCUGAGAUCAUGCCAUUGCACUCCAGCCUGGGCAACAAGAGCAAGACUCCGUCUCAAAAAAAAAAAAAAAAAGAAAUGACAUUUUGAAAAUUACUGAACAGAGGGUGAACCCUAGUAUAAACUGUGAACUUUAGUUAGUAAUAGUGUAUCAAUAUUGGUUCAUCAGUUGUAACAGAUAUACCACACUAAUGCAAGAUGCAAAUAAUUGGGGGUAACUGUGCUUGUGUUUGUGCAGUCAGGGAGAGGAGGUUUGUGUAAAGUCCAUACUUUUUUUUGUUUUUUAACCUGUGUCUACAACAAAACUCUCUGUACUUCCUUGUCAGUUUUCCUGUAAAGCUAAAACUGUUCUAAAAUAUAUUUGAAAAGUCUUUUAGUAUAAGAGAAAACCAAAACAAAGCAAACAAACAAAAAGGCAACAACAUACUGAUAAACAAAAAAUUCAGGCUAGUGCUAACCGGUUGGAUGAGAGGAGGUAAGGAUGACUGGGAGAAAGGCUGGAGGAGAACCAGGCACCCAGAUAAACAGCAUAAAGGGACUGGCAGUGUUCCAGUUCUGAAGUUGGCCAGAGAGUUUCUUGGGU